rnacentral:rRNA from 1 species
GGACUACUGGGGUAUCUAAUCCUGUUUGAUCCCCACGCUUUCGUGCAUGAGCGUCAAUAUCUGCGUAGUAAGCUGCCUUCGCAAUAGGUGUUCUAUGUCAUAUCUAAGCAUUUCACCGCUACAUGACAUAUUCCGCUUACCUCCACAGCAUUCAAGAUAUAUAGUAUCAACGGCAAUUUCCAGGUUAAGCCUAGAGAUUUCACCACUGACUUACAUAUCCGCCUGCGCACCCUUUAAACCCAGUAAAUCCGGAUAACGCUUGCACCCUCCGUAUUACCGCGGCUGCUGGCAC